CUGUAGUAAGCUGCAUGACUGCCCCUGAGAAAUGGGACUUCACAGACUUGGUCUGGGGUCCUCAGAUGAGUGGUAGAGAGCUGCUUCUGGGACACUCUGUAAAAGCUAAAGUGUUGAGUGAAAACUGAACUGGCACGUUGGAGGAUUCUGCAAAGAGGAUUUACUAAGAUUAUUAAUAAUACUUUCACACCUUUGGUCUCUUGCUCUAUAAACAAGUUUUCGACCAGAGUGGGAAGAAGAGAGGUACAGGUCACCAUGGCCUCAGUACUUUGGCUAUUUUCUUUUUGACCCUUUAAAAUAACAGCUACUUGGAAGUUGGAUGAGUGUAGAGAAAGCUGCUCACUGCCUUCUGGUUCAGAAUGGCUGGUGCCUCCAAAGCUGAGUCAUCCGAAGGGUUUCUGUUAAGACUCUGAACAAGGUAGACAGAUACAACUGGUGGCACAACCUUGUGACAACAGAAUCUGGAAUGACAAAAUAGAUGGAUCUGGACUGAGGAGGACCUGCCUCUUUCCUGGGACUGGACGCACUCUGCAGAGAGCACACUCCCUAAAGCGCAGCAGGUUCUUUAAUCCCGCCCCCCUCCACACUCAGAUGCAGCCCCAGGCCCGGGUCAACUGGAAAGGAGCAGCCAUUUCCUCCCCCUGCUCACGUGCUGUUCUCUGAAACAUUCUUUCUCCCUUGCAGGCGCUCUCUUGUCCCGUUUUCCCCAAUCCAGGUGGAUUCUGGGAAUAUCAGCAAAUUGAUGGGCAGAAGGCAGGAAGACCUCGCAGGGGCCACAGUGGGGUGAGUGACCCUGACAAAGCUCUGAAGGUUGCCUCCAAGGGUGAGGACUCAGCUCCCCUGUGUGCCUGGGACCGUGCUGCUCCCUCCUUGCAGUGUCUCUAAGUACCAGAAACCAGGCGGAGGGCUGCGGAGGGCUGAGGAAGAGGGUGCCCGGCUGAAGGCAGGAGCCUCCCAGGUGAGAGCAGGGUGCUCGGUGGGAACUGGACUGGAAUCCGUGAAUACAAACUGUGGACUAGAGAAAAGAAUUAGACCACGAGGGCAGGGCACACUGCAAAGCACUCUCUCUGGAGUUCACAAACGCUCACACACCAGCCUUGUCCUGUCCAAAGAGGAGCAUGACAAACAACGUCCUAACAGCAACAGGAGCAAGGGGCUGCUGAAAAAUCACGGAAAAUAGAAAAGAAAAAAGGAAUAACUUCCAUAAAACAGAGCCAUCCCCCAAACAAUUUGCCUCCCAAUACAGACGACCAUUCAGACAACUGCGCGGCACUGUCACCGCUGCACGGAGACUUGAUUCCUCUCAAAGGGAAGCAUAAUAUCUGAAGGUGAAGUGAGGGGUGGAAAAAGGCCAAGAUGCUGAGAAUGGUGGUGGAAUAAAGAGACAAGAACCUCUGCUGCUCAUGUCUAACAGGGAAUCGAGUCCCUGUUAGAGCGAGGAAGGGCAUCAUUUUGCCCCAUGAAGGCGUGUCACUGGUGUGGAGAGCUUCCACGAGGAAAUGUCCCAGAAUUUAGCAGAAGGGGACAAGGGGUAACAAUGAUGGAGAGUCCAGAAACAGUGGCCAGAACAUGGAGCCAGGUGACACAAGUAGGUGUUCCUGAGCUAGAGGGCAGGAGAGCUCAUAGGAGAUAGACAGCUCACCCCAACUUAGGAAAACCAAGGGUGACCCUCACUCUAUGGAGACUGGUGGACGUUUCAACUGAGAUCACCACAAAAAUGUAUCAGUAUCAAAUUGGUGUGAAUAUACUUUGUGUACAACCAGAGAGAUGAAAAAUUGUGUUCUAAAUGUGUAAUAAGAAUUGUAAUGCAUUCCACUGUCAUAUAUAAAUAAAAAAAGUAUCGGUAUCCCAAAUAAU
rnacentral:lncRNA from 1 species